rnacentral:rRNA from 1 species
UGCCAGACUCCUACGGGAGGCAGCAGUGGGGAAUAUUGCACAAUGGGGGAAACCCUGAUGCAGCGACGCCGCGUGAGCGAUGAAGUAUUUCGGUAUGUAAAGCUCUAUCAGCAGGGAAGAAGAUGACGGUACCUGACUAAGAGGCCCCGGCUAACUACGUGCCAGCAGCCGCGGUAAUACGUAGGGGGCAAGCGUUAUCCGGAUUUACUGGGUGUAAAGGGAGCGUAGACGGCGAUGCAAGCCAGAUGUGAAAGCCCGGGGCUCAACCCCGGGACUGCAUUUGGAACUGUGUGGCUGGAGUGUCGGAGAGGCAGGCGGAAUUCCUAGUGUAGCGGUGAAAUGCGUAGAUAUUAGGAGGAACACCAGUGGCGAAGGCGGCCUGCUGGACGAUGACUGACGUUGAGGCUCGAAAGCGUGGGGAGCAAACAGGAUUAGAUACCCUCGUACA